rnacentral:rRNA from 1 species
UACGGAGGGUGCAAGCGUUAUCCGGAUUCGCUGGGUUUAAAGGGUGUGUAGGUGGGCAGGUAAGUCAGUGGUGAAAUCCUGUAGCUUAACUACAGAACUGCCAUUGAUACUAUCUGUCUUGAAUACCCUGGAGGUGAGCGGAAUAUGUCAUGUAGCGGUGAAAUGCUUAGAUAUGACAUAGAACACCCAUUGCGAAGGCAGCUCACUACGGGAAUAUUGACGCUGAGGCACGAAAGCGUGGGGAUCAAACAGG